rnacentral:rRNA from 1 species
GGGUUGUGAGGUUAAGCGACUAAGCGUACACGGUGGAUGCCCUGGCAGUCAGAGGCGAUGAAGGGCGUACUAAUCUGCGAUAAGCGCCGGUAAGGUGAUAUGAACCGUUAUAACCGGCGAUACCCGAAUGGGGAAACCCAGUGUGAUUCGUCACACUAUCAUUAACUGAAUCCAUAGGUUAAUGAGGCGAACCGGGGGAACUGAAACAUCUAAGUACCCCGAGGAAAAGAAAUCAACCGAGAUUCCCCCAGUAGCGGCGAGCGAACGGGGAGGAGCCCAGAGCCUGAAUCAGCAUGUGUGUUAGUGGAAGCGUCUGGAAAGGCGCGCGAUACAGGGUGACAGCCCCGUACACAAAAGCGCAUGUGCUGUGAGCUCGAUGAGUAGGGCGGGACACGUGGUAUCCUGUCUGAAUAUGGGGGGACCAUCCUCCAAGGCUAAAUACUCCUGACUGACCGAUAGUGAACCAGUACCGUGAGGGAAAGGCGAAAAGAACCCCGGCGAGGGGAGUGAAAAAGAACCUGAAACCGUGUACGUACAAGCAGUGGGAGCACAGGUUUACCUGUGUGACUGCGUACCUUUUGUAUAAUGGGUCAGCGACUUAUAUUCUGUAGCAAGGUUAACCGAAUAGGGGAGCCGGAGGGAAACCGAGUCUUAAUUGGGCGUUAAGUUGCAGGGUAUAGACCCGAAACCCGGUGAUCUAGCCAUGGGCAGGUUGAAGGUUGGGUAACACUAACUGGAGGACCGAACCGACUAAUGUUGAAAAAUUAGCGGAUGACCUGUGGCUGGGGGUGAAAGGCCAAUCAAACCGGGAGAUAGCUGGUUCUCCCCGAAAGCUAUUUAGGUAGCGCCUCGUGAAUUCAUCUCCGGGGGUAGAGCACUGUUUCGGCUAGGGGGCCAUCCCGGCUUACCAACCCGAUGCAAACUGCGAAUACCGGAGAAUGUUAUCACGGGAGACACACGGCGGGUGCUAACGUCCGUCGUGAAGAGGGAAACAACCCAGACCGCCAGCUAAGGUCCCAAAGUCAUGGUUAAGUGGGAAACGAUGUGGGAAGGCCCAGACAGCCGGAUGUUGGCUUAGAAGCAGCCAUCAUUUAAAGAAAGCGUAAUAGCUCACUGGUCGAGUCGGCCUGCGCGGAAGAUGUAACGGGGCUAAACCAUGCACCGAAGCUGCGGCAGCGACGCUUAUGCGUUGUUGGGUAGGGGAGCGUUCUGUAAGCCUGCGAAGGUGGCCUGUGAGGGUUGCUGGAGGUAUCAGAAGUGCGAAUGCUGACAUAAGUAACGAUAAAGCGGGUGAAAAGCCCGCUCGCCGGAAGACCAAGGGUUCCUGUCCAACGUUAAUCGGGGCAGGGUGAGUCGACCCCUAAGGCGAGGCCGAAAGGCGUAGUCGAUGGGAAACGGGUUAAUAUUCCCGUACUUGGUGUUACUGCGAAGGGGGGACGGAGAAGGCUAUGUUGGCCGGGCGACGGUUGUCCCGGUUUAAGCGUGUAGGUGUGUGUUCCAGGUAAAUCCGGUUCACUUUAACACUGAGGCGUGACGACGAGGCACUACGGUGCUGAAGCAACAAAUGCCCUGCUUCCAGGAAAAGCCUCUAAGCAUCAGGUAACAUCAAAUCGUACCCCAAACCGACACAGGUGGUCAGGUAGAGAAUACCAAGGCGCUUGAGAGAACUCGGGUGAAGGAACUAGGCAAAAUGGUGCCGUAACUUCGGGAGAAGGCACGCUGACACGUAGGUGAAGUGAUUUACUCAUGGAGCUGAAGUCAGUCGAAGAUACCAGCUGGCUGCAACUGUUUAUUAAAAACACAGCACUGUGCAAACACGAAAGUGGACGUAUACGGUGUGACGCCUGCCCGGUGCCGGAAGGUUAAUUGAUGGGGUCAGCGCAAGCGAAGCUCCUGAUCGAAGCCCCGGUAAACGGCGGCCGUAACUAUAACGGUCCUAAGGUAGCGAAAUUCCUUGUCGGGUAAGUUCCGACCUGCACGAAUGGCGUAAUGAUGGCGGGCUGUCUCCACCCGAGACUCAGUGAAAUUGAACUCGCUGUGAAGAUGCAGUGUACCCGCGGCAAGACGGAAAGACCCCGUGAACCUUUACUAUAGCUUGACACUGAACAUUGAGCCUUGAUGUGUAGGAUAGGUGGGAGGCUUUGAAGUGUGGACGCCAGUCUGCAUGGAGCCGACCUUGAAAUACCACCCUUUAAUGUUUGAUGUUCUAACGUGGACCCGUUACCCGGGUUGCGGACAGUGUCUGGUGGGUAGUUUGACUGGGGCGGUCUCCUCCUAAGAGUAACGGAGGAGCACGAAGGUUGGCUAAUCCUGGUCGGACAUCAGGAGGUUAGUGCAAUGGCAUAAGCCAGCUUGACUGCGAGCGUGACGGCGCGAGCAGGUGCGAAAGCAGGUCAUAGUGAUCCGGUGGUUCUGAAUGGAAGGGCCAUCGCUCAACGGAUAAAAGGUACUCCGGGGAUAACAGGCUGAUACCGCCCAAGAGUUCAUAUCGACGGCGGUGUUUGGCACCUCGAUGUCGGCUCAUCAUCCUCCUGCUGAAGUAGGUCCCAAGGGUAUGGCUGUUCGCCAUUUAAAGUGGUACGCGAGCUGGGUUUAGAACGUCGUGAGACAGUUCGGUCCCUAUCUGCCGUGGGCGCUGGAGAACUGAGGGGGGCUGCUCCUAGUACGAGAGGACCGGAGUGGACGCAUCACUGGUGUUCGGGUUGUCAUGCCAAUGGCACUGCCCGGUAGCUAAAUGCGGAAGAGAUAAGUGCUGAAAGCAUCUAAGCACGAAACUUGCCCCGAGAUGAGUUCUCCCUGAGACUUAGAGUCUCCUGAAGGAACGUUGAAGACGACGACGUUGAUAGGCCGGGUGUGUAAGCGCAGCGAUGCGUUGAGCUAACCGGUACUAAUGAACCGUGAGGCUUAACCUUACAACGCCGAAG